UCAGGUCAUUGGCUUCGGUGCCUGGAGGAUGUAUGACUCCUCUGCUCUGAAGAGACACAGACAGCUGGGCAGGACCCAAAAUGCCUUGAGCAGUCGAAACAAUCUUCAAGAACACUUCUAAAAAGGAGCCUAAGAGUGCCAGUAUUCAACAAAUGUAUGUGUAAUUAUUAGAAGUACUGUUCUCAGGACCCUUGGAGCCCAGCCACUGGCAAUGGUGCCUUUGGAGGAAACAGAUGCAUUUGGAGUUUAGCUGACUGGACCUGUCUGAGCACAUAGCUCCUCACUGCACAAGGUGCCACAAGUGACCUGGUGCACAGAAGUUUGGACCUUGUCCUGAAUUCUGUAACUUUGGUUGAGCUCUCAUCCUCCUGGUGCUGUAUCAGACUGGAUUUAGGAGAAGGCUGUUGACCCACCACAGGGAAAUGUUAAAUUAUGCCAUCGGCCCUGAAGAGCCAAGAGAACAAAAGAGUGAAAGCAAAGAGGAAUCUAUCCUGGCCUUCCUUGGGAUUGCUGGAACCAUUCUGAAUUUACUCGUCAUCAUCUUUGUCUACAUCGACACCUCCCUCUAAACUAUGGAUAUUUGUAUACCAAGGACUUCAGAAGUGUUUCAGUUAAGCAUAAUUAUGGGGCAGGCAGUAGGACACAUUAGGGGCAAUGGAUUGUUUUGGAAUGUUUUCAUGUUCUGACUUUGAUGUUGCCAAGCAUAACUUUCUGUGAACAUUCUGAACUUUGGAUACUGUUCCUCAUGCGUGUGUUUUUUUUAGCUUUUUGAUGGGAAGGAGCUAAAUCUAAAAAGGUUCAUCUUAGGACAGUAUUGCUUGCCUGUUAAAAUGCAUGUGAUAUAUUUUUUUCAGAAUAUAGUAGAUUUACUUAAUAGCUUUUGAUAAAGUGUCUAAAAUGAGUGGGCCGGCCUCAACUGAUUCAUCAGUGCUUGUCCUAUUGUUUAAAAAGAGCCUCAGCAAAUCUGCAAGUAGCACUUGACAGUUCUUGAUCACUAAAAAUGGAUAUCAUGUCUUUGUUUUUUCUAAAAUGAUUCAGCUAUAGUAUUUUUGAUAUGACAUUGCUAUUUUUUCUGUGGUGAGGUUUUGCAGGUUUAAUUUCUGAUGCUAAACUGUUCACCCUUUAAGCCUAGGCCUCAAAACUUUGUUUUGUUGUUUUGGGUGAAAUGACUAGCAAACU